UUCUCUCAUCUUGAUGGCAGUUACUGUUCUUCAGGCAGCAAGUUUUACUUUGACUUCUUGCUCACAGCAAGGGACAUAGAUGGGCAUUUCUUUCCAAGUUCAAUACAUUCAGGGAAGUCUGCCUCUCAGCUCAUUGUUUUUCUCAAGGAAUGAUGAGCAGUAUCAAGGAUUUGCACAGAUAAAUAGUGUCUCCAGUUGAACAUAUCAAGCAUUAGCUACACUUUUGACUUCUGUGCUUCUACAAGACUAUAUGACCCCUUCAUGUUGGCUUUUCUUGCAAAGUAAAUUAUCAUUCCAAUGGCAGGUAUUAUUAAGGAGGAUGCAAAAUAGAGCACGAGAAGCUCAGGAGAAAAAUAGUCUUUGUUGUUUUCUCUUCCUUGAACAUCAAGUGUUAAACUUCUUAAUUGUGAGCCAACUUUGUUUUUAGAUUCACAUUCAUAUACUCCCGCAUCCUUCAACUGGGCCUUUCGGAUGGUAUAGGCGCCAUCUAUAGAUUUUAGUACUGUGUCUCCUGUCUCCGCUUUUUUCUUCAGGAUUAUCCAUGUUUCUGGAACAUUUCCACAUGUACAAGAGAUGAUGACAGUGUCUCCUUCUUUGACACUCUCAGAAGGAAAAGCUGUAAGUUUUAUGUCUUUUGGAGUAACUUGGAUAAUUAAUUCCACUUCCUUUCUGCUUCUUCCAGCCUGGUUAAUUCCUUCACAUAAAUAAACCCCAGAAUCUUCCAUUUUUGUAGAAAUUAAGGUGAGAGUUGCAUUCUCAGAAAGAGGCUGUAGCUCCCCGUUAGGGAGCUGCCUGCUCCACAGGAUUUUCGGAGCAGGAAAGCCCUGGCUCAAGCAUGUCAUAUUCACAGAACUGCCUUCCUCCAGGAUGGAGGAAGGGCUGACCAAGACGGUUGUAUCUCUGGGGGCAACAUUGACAUAAAGUGUUUGCGUACUCUGCCUUUGUUUGGGUUCGAAUUCCAUGUCAUCAAUAUGUAACUUAGCCUGACAAACAAGAGCUUUUCCAGUAUCUUCAAUGGUAGGGAUGAAGGUCAUUUCCAAACUUUUGUUCUCUAGAGAUUUCAUAUCCGUAUCCUCCAAAAACUCUAUAUUCUCCAGAAUAGUCUCCCCCUUAAGUAAUUCAAUCUCCAGCCGGUCAAGGGGGUACACGCUAGGAACCUUGCAGCUUACAGUGACAGAGCUCCCAUUCACGAGGCCACCACUCAUCUCGAUUUCUGGAUCUCUAGGGAAUGAGUAGAGCUCCACCUGGAUUCCCUUUUCCAGUUUCUUAUGUCCACAAGUCACUGUGCACAGAUAAGAGUGUUCGUUCUCAAAACUCACAGGGCUCAGGGUCAGCGUGGAAUUGGUCCCCUCACUCCUCACCUUCCCGCUCAGAGGGCUGUCUAUCUGGGUUCUCCAGGAGAAAGAUGGGGAUUCACAGCCCAUGACACUACAUGUCAACAUGACUGAGUCUCCAAUCUGAGCAGCAAUCCGGGGUCCAGGGGAGAUCUCAACAGUAAAUGGUUUCUCUUGAACAAUUAAUUCCACCUCUUUUCUGUUUUUCCCAAUCAAAUUAACUCCUUCACACACAUAAAUUCCAGAAUCUUCC
rnacentral:lncRNA from 1 species